UACGGGGGGGGCAAGCGUUGUUCGGAAUUACUGGGCGUAAAGGGCUCGUAGGCGGCCAACUAAGUCAGACGUGAAAUCCCUCGGCUUAACCGGGGAACUGCGUCUGAUACUGGAUGGCUUGAGAUUGGGAGAGGGAUGCGGAAUUCCAGGUGUAGCGGUGAAAUGCGUAGAUAUCUGGAGGAACACCGGUGGCGAAGGCGGCAUCCUGGACCAACACUGACGCUGAGGAGCGGAAGCCAGGGGAGCAAACAGG
rnacentral:rRNA from 1 species